UGGGAACUAAAGUUGACUACGCAUGCUGGAAACACAAUACAACGGGAUACUCAAACCCCUGUCCACUGAGAACGCAGUUUCGACAGUUGUCGACAACUAAACCAGUGACUCCCACACACGGGGAAAAAUGGUCAAAAACGUUGUACUUUGUCGACAAGAAAAGCAGUUUUCCUUUUCGAAAAGGGACAUUGCUUAGUUGUCGAUAACUAAAAAUUAAGCGUUUUGUUUUCGACUACUCAUCUGGCGUACAGAUAUAUUUUAGUUGUCGAUAACAAAUAGUUUGCCGACAACUUAAGGUGUAGUCUGAGCACUUACUUGCGGUGUUCCGCUAGAGAGAACAAUAACUGGAGCUCUAAGAGUUGUUGUGUCCUUUAGUCGAGAUAAAAUCUGAAAUAUGUUUGCAGUUUCUUUGUUUUAUCUUUGUUUCCUUCAGCUUUGACAGUCUCGACUCCCUAGCUUUGUACGGCUCUUUUUUUGCCAUUGUUUUCUUGAGGCUUACCACAAUUAUUCGUGCCGGCUGACAGGAGAUAUGGUCGACCGUAUUGACUGUGAGCACGUGAAAAAAGUUUACAAAACUUUUCAAGAUGCAGGGUGUAUGUUCUCAAACAAACACAAAAAACAUGCAAAUAGUUUUCAAGGUAACACAUUAUCAUACUCUUUAUUGUUUAUUGACUUUCUUUAUCUCAGUACUACAAUUGGUAAAUGUAGCGCCGGAAAUUCGUGCCAUGACAGUGUAUCAUAUUAUUUGCCUACUUGUGGAAAUCUUUCGUUCUGUAUGACAGGCAUACCUUUAUCUUGAGGUGACUGAAGAAUGUCGGGAAGUGCUUAACAAAGAGUUUAUGGCCACAAAGAACCUUUCUACAAGACUUGCAAUGAAAGUUAAAAUCCUUGCUGAACGUAACGAGAGAGGUUAACGAGAAUUUUAUUACCCGCUUGCCUCCUAACUCCGAGUUUUGGUCAAAGAAGUUGCACAUGAUUGAUGUCAUGAUGAGAUGGAGACGUAUAUACAUUCAGGUUUGACGGCUUUGUCGAAGUAUCUUUGAAUCGAGAGCCGCAAGCGACGGUCAGUUGCAGACGGUGAGAUUUGCUGGCCCACUAAUAAACCUUGACAAGAACAUCAUUGAAGAGGUGAUUUCUGAAGAGAUUGCCUCAUUGCCUGAAAGAAUUUCAGCAGCAACAAGGUGGAAGAAGGCAUGAAGAAACCAAGCAAAAAAAGGAUCAUCACCUGAUCAGGAAGACCCCAAUGGAGGAAAACAAAAUACAAGAAAAAGUGUAAUGUGGUACCACUCGGGCAAAUACAUUGCCACACCUGUGUUUGAUUGUUGGGGCCAGAACUGUGUUGAGGAUAGCAGGCAUUUGAUGUAUCAAUGAUUGUCACUUGGGCAAGGAAAGGGAAAAUACUCUUGUUUGAUUGGUAUCUAUGAGCUUCUUGGUAAAUGUUUGGAUGGACUGUUUUGGUACACAAUGUGGUGCAAGUAGACACUAACACAGGUAUUACUCACUUCUGGU